rnacentral:rRNA from 1 species
GACGUAGGGCGCGAGCGUUGUCCGGAUUUAUUGGGCGUAAAGAGCUCGUAGGCGGCUUGUCGCGUCGACUGUGAAAUCCCGCGGCUCAACUGCGGGUCUGCAGUCGAUACGGGCAGGCUAGAGUUCGGUAGGGGAGACUGGAAUUCCUGGUGUAGCGGUGAAAUGCGCAGAUAUCAGGAGGAACACCGAUGACGAAGGCAGGUCUCUGGGCCGAUACUGACGCUGAGGAGCGAAAGCGUGGGGAGCGAACAGG